rnacentral:rRNA from 1 species
GUGGGGAAUUUUGGACAAUGGGCGCAAGCCUGAUCCAGCAAUGCCGCGUGCAGGAAGAAGGCCUUCGGGUUGUAAACUGCUUUUGUACGGAACGAAACGGUCCGGGUUAAUACCCUGGGCUAAUGACGGUACCGUAAGAAUAAGCACCGGCUAACUACGUGCCAGCAGCCGCGGUAAUACGUAGGGUGCAAGCGUUAAUCGGAAUUACUGGGCGUAAAGCGUGCGCAGGCGGUUUUGUAAGACAGGCGUGAAAUCCCCGGGCUCAACCUGGGAAUUGCGCUUGUGACUGCAAGGCUGGAGUGCGGCAGAGGGAGAUGGAAUUCCGCGUGUAGCAGUGAAAUGCGUAGAUAUGCGGAGGAACACCGAUGGCGAAGGCAAUCCCCUGGGCCUGCACUGACGCUCAUGCACGAAAGCGUGGGGAGCAAACAGGAUUAGAUACCCCUGUAGUCC